UUCAAGUUGUUUAUUUGUGCACUCCAAAUUAUUUCACUCUCAUGCCUUUGUGGCCUGUCCUGUGGCCUUUGUGUCCUAAACUUUUUUGUAACACCAAAGGCCAAAUGGCCUUGUCCCUAAAAUGACGAAAUUCCAAGUCUGCUUGAGUUGUCCUGACCAGGGAGUCAUUUUUCCCCUCUGUACCGGAUGUGGGCACUGGACUCUCUGUCCAUGGUGAUUGACCAGGCCGGUCCUCUGUACCACGAAUAUGUGGAGGUCAGCUUCACCCUGGUUCUGAGGCUGCCGCUGAACAUCUAUCCCACCCACAUCAAGAUCCACCAGAGUCUGGGUCGAUGCCUCAACGCCUGCACACGUUUGCCCCGCGCCACGUCAACCUGGCUAGCCUGGUGCCUAGCCUCUGUGUGAACCUGCGCAGCUCGUACCUGUCCCUGUGUUGCGCUGUGAUGGCCUGUCUGAGAUGGCUGGACCAGAAGGAAGCGCUGGAGGUGUUGGAGCACGCCAUGGCGCUGGUCAAGGAGCUGAGACAUCCGGUCAUUAACUUCCAGCCGUCUUUCCUUUGAGGCUCAGCGUGUUCAGAUGGACUCUGAAUGAUGAGCGUGCGUUCGGAUACAGCUUCACGACCUGUAGAAAUGCCUCGUUGUCACCACUCUCUCAUCAGAUGUGAUCAUAAAGUAGGUGGGCCUGGAGGGGGCGCUGUUUAGCCUGCUGGAUCGGGAGUCAGACCCCCGACUGAGUCAUCAAGGAGACCCUGGUCCACAUGAUGACCUCCAUCACUGCAGGGAAACUGGCCCACUGGCUCAAACUCUGCAAAGAUGUGUUGUCUGCCUCUGCGGACUCCACUGCCCCAGUUGAGACCAACCAGGAGGAGGAUGCGGACCGGGAUGACGACGCGUCCGUCUUCCACGCCAAGUCCGACUCCGGCGGGCCCUUCACCAAAAUGCGCUGGUCCACUCGGUUCUUCGCCAUGGAGUGUGUGUGUCGCGUCAUUACCCAGUGCGAGAGCCACGGACACCCCGCCCAUUUUCACCUGACCCUGGCUCUGAAAUAAAGCUCUGAAAUCUCUUUAUUUAACCGGAUACUAAAAUGAUUCGAUUAACCGGUGGGGAUUUUGUCAUUUUAUGAUGAGCAUGUGGAGCAUCCAUGCGUUAUUUAACAUCUGUUUAACGUUUGUUAAACGUCCUGUCCUUUCCUCCCUGCCAGACUUCCUGGUUCUUCAUCUGGCCGACCUUCAUCUGGCUGACCUUCAUAUGGCCUUCAUGGCCGCCUCCGACCACAGCGACCAGCUCCGUCUCUCCGGCCUGCAGACCCUCCUGGUCGUCAUCCGCAAGUUUGCCGCCAUCCCCGAGCCCGAGUUUCCAGGCCACGUCGUCUUGGAGCAGUAUCAGGUCAACGUGAGUCCACUCCGUCACGCCACCUGUCGUCGGCUCCUUCGAGCGGUCACUUCUCUCCUCUCUUCCCGUGUAGGUUGGCUCAGCGUUGAAGCUGGCCAGGUGAGGCCUUCCGUCUCCCCUCUUGCCGUAACUAAUAGCAACGGAAUGCCGGCGUUCGACUGGAGCGACGGCUGACUGUGGGGUUUGUUCUUUGCUGCCCACCAGGAGGGACCUUCUACAAGGCUGAGAUGGGGGAGCAGGCCAGACCCCACCACUACAGCUCCUGGGCUCCUAUCCUCCACACCACAGCCCUGUGGUUCAGCAGCACCGGCUUCGUCAUGGCGGACGACGGCCCCGCCAACCUGUCCCGUCCCGCCACCCCCACCUCCAUGGGCCAGUCCGCCUCCCUGGCCUCCGUCAAGUCCCCUGACUAUGUCAGCGCCGACCGGCUGCACUUUAUCCUGGGCAGCUUGCCCUGCAGGCCCUUAGAACCGUCCUGUCGUCCCAGAUGAGUCGCUCUGUGAAGAGCCGCGGGGCCUGGGCCCACCUCCUGCGCUGCGCCCUCAACACCCUGCUGGACUGCUGGGAUUCCGAUAAGGCCAGCCCUGUGGUGGAUGAGGUCAGUCUAUUGACUGCCCUCACUGUCUUCCUGCUCUCUGCCAGUCCUGAGGUCACUACAGUCCAGCCCCGGCAGGCACGCUGCAUAGACAAGUUUUAAGGACCCUGUGGUGGGUUAAAGUCACAACAAGCUAGUUUAGCUGUCAUCCAGAGCUAAGGAGUCCGCCUUUUAGGAGUCUUCUUGUGGCUACACAAUUAAAGCGUUUUGAAAAUUCAGCGUAUCCACUGUUGAAGUUAGCAUACACUGUUUCUCAUUAUUAACUUCUCUUUAAGGAUUCAAUCCAAAUAGGUAUUUCCCAAUUCCCUCAAUUCAAUUUAAAUUUCAAAUUACUUUAUUGGCAGGAAAAACAUUACAUAAUUGGGAAAAAUUACAGAGCAUUAUGUAUUAUUAGUAGUACCAUUUCAUCAGUCUAAAAUAUUACAAUAGAACAGCUAUCAUUUUAACUUUCAUUACUAUCACCAUCUAUCAAAUCAAUAUAUCUGAGCUGUGGCCGUAAGGUCUCCGGUGCCUGUUG